rnacentral:lncRNA from 1 species
AUUAUUCCUGAUACCACACCUGACCCCCAUGACUGUAUCUCUCUGAUACACCUGACAUUCACCCCAUUUCUCCAUAUUUCCUUCUCUCCUGUUCCUCACCCUGAUCACACUUGGUUUAUUGAUGGCAGUUCCACAGGCCUAAUCGCCACACACCAGCAAAGGCAGGCUAUGCUAUAGUAUCUUCCACAUCUAUCAUUGAGCCUACCACUCUGCCCCCCUCCACUACCUCUCAGCAAACCGA